rnacentral:misc_RNA from 1 species
GAUGAAGAACGUAGCGAAAUGCGAUAAGUAAUGUGAAUUGCAGAAUUCAGUGAAUCGUCGAAUCUUUGAACGCACAUUGCGCCCCUUGGUAUUCCGAGGGGCAUGCCUGUUCGAGCGUCAUUAUAACCCCUCAAGCUCAGCUUGGUGUUGGGGCCUGCUGCACUGGCAGCCCUUAAAAUCAGUGGCGGCGCCAUCUGGCUCUAAGCGUAGUAAUUCUUCUCGCUAUGGAGUCCUGGUGGAUGCUUGCCAUCAACCCCCAAUUUUUCUAUGGUUGACCUCGGAUCAGGUAGGGAUACCCGCUGAACUUAAGCAUAUCAAUAAGCGGAGGA